UACAUCACAUAAUUACAAUGUAUGUUGUGACAAUAAUAGAGUACACGACAUGUACAGUAAAGUUGCUGAGCUGAAAACUCGGAGAUAUUUUUUACUUACAGUGCUGAUCUUGAGGCUGCAAAUAUGGCGUCAAAUAUACAGUAGGACAACUCCAUGCUCUGCUGGUUCUCUAACUGUCCGUGUAUAGACAGCAACAACUGGACCUCGUUAAAAGGCGGGAGGACAGGGGCACCCCCAGGGAAGAUACUUGUAGCUCUUGGCUCAAACACAACAAAAAGGUCGACAAGUGUUUGAAGGUUGUCUCUGGUCAGCUGAGAGGGAGUGUCAGUGCUGGCUAGACAGCAGUCUCAGCACAAUAUUGCAGGAUGCCGGGAAAUCGAGACUGGAGAUAUGCUAAUAAUAUGGAUGCCCAACGAGAGAGGAGCUAGAAAUACGUUCCCUGACGAGCCACUAGACUUUAUUGUACUGGAUUGCUUGGUAUGUGCACGACAGGUUUAGUUCAGGAAUUUGACCAAAUACGUGAAAAUAUGGUUUCCAAAUAUUAAGGGGAUGAUUAACAUUGGACACUUGCGUCUGCCAAUGGGGGACCUGGUAUUCUCCCCAGAAAAAUCUUUGAACGAAUAUGAUUUUCAAAUGGUUGUGGUAAACUUCAUACUUCAUACCAUAGUCCAACAACUAUUUUUGGUUAUCCAACUUUAAUACCAAUGUGUGCUUAUCGUAUACCGUAGUCCUAGAAAUUUUUGCUAGCAUAAAAUACUUGCAUUUAGGCCAAUUCUACAAAAAAGCUAUACAAUUAAUUUAUUUCCUUGCCACGAUUGUAUAGGCCUAGAAUAAAAGCCUAACUGUGCGAUACAAAUGUACGUGAUAGAUAGGCACUUGCAUAAAUGCAUUAGUUUGUAUCACAUAUACAUUUCUAGCACACUACCGUAGGGAUGGUUGGGCGAUGGUGUAGGGCUAAGGUUUGCAGCGACAUCGAAGUUACCACAACCAUUUUUUUCAUUCCAGCUGCAAGCCAGCUGCAAGCUAAGUGUAUAAAUAUUGUACAUUAUAGAUAAGGUCUUUUCCUAAUUUCUAUACAUUUUCUCUCAAGUAUCAAAACAGCCCAGUUAAGCGUGUGAACCUUCGACCCCAAAGUCGCUAAUGUUAAGGGGAUGCAAAGUACCAAAUUUACCUAUUCCAAAUGGGUAACAGAACAUUUCAAGCUAAAAUAAACCCUGCAAAAACCCCACCCCAUAAGCAGUUUGUGUAGUGUGUAACAUAGAUUAUGUGUGACCGGAAUGUGUGUAUGUACCAGCCAUUGAACAAACAAUCAUCCAUAGUGACCGUCCAUUUAUAUAUACUAGCACUAGCAUUGUGUGUACAGUAUCAUUGUGUCUGGAACUGUAUCAUUUCCCCUCUCACUCAGGAAGGAAAGGUAGCCAUAAAGAGUGUGGCUAAUCUCCUACUGUGUAUAUACGCCAGUGGAAAUGUUGGUCUAGGACUGCUUAAGGCAAAGGCGGAUGCUCUCUCCAAACAUCUUGAAGCACCUCUGCUGCAAAUAUCUACUACAUAGCUAACUUUUUCAAUAGUAUACUUUCUAAUGAGUUGUGUAAAAUUAUAAAAUUAUUUAUUGUACAUGUAAUGUCGUAUGUCAAAUCUUGUUGUGGACUUGUAAA